CGAAGCCCUUCUCAAGCCAUGGCCCACUGAAGGGCUGACCUGCCCAGGAGGGGAGCGUCAGGCAUGGCACAGACUUGGUCCUGUCUCCAUGACUCUGGGCCCAGCUGCCUGCACAAGACCACGAACAGUUGUUUGUCCUCACUGACGUGAAAUAAGCGAUAACCCUGGACAAUCAUUCCCGUUUAUAGAGUACCCACUUCUCACCAGACACAUUACAUCCUUCAUCUCCAUCCUCCUAUCGGCUCUUCCAGGGGUUAACAGCCAGCCCGUAGAUUCCCUGCCUUCAGCUGUCAGGAGUGUGUGAACUUCUCUUCUGGGACAAGUGCCCUGUGAGGAAAAGGAACAGAGAGAGAAAGGGGCUGCCCUGCCUGGGAUAUCUGCAUGUCACAUUAGCCCUACCAGCACCAAGGAUCAUGAGCGCUUCAUACCACAACAGAGAAACCCUGGCUUCAGAACUGACCGUCGUCUAGGAGGGCGUCUCGGAGGGCUUCAGGACAAACCGAGGCACACCGGAUUGUCACCCUCCAAAGUCAUGACUCAGCCCAGAGGUCAGGGGCACUCAGCCUUGCCUCCACCAAGUAGUUCCAGCUUGCCAACAGAGAAGCUCCUGGGCACGCCACACAGGAAUCAUGGGAAGACUGAGAAGGUCAUCGGUGGGGCACGCCCCGGGCAAAGGCAGAGAGCAGUCAGUGCUCUUCCGCCACCCCUGGCGAAGAGGUCACAGCCUGAGCUCAGCUCCCUUCUUCUCCACGACAGAGACUCCCAGGAUGGCUCUCUCCUCACUCCACACUCCUAGCACAACUCUGUGCUUCCUCCUUCAGCCUCCCAUGAACAUUUCCUGGAAGAACAGUGCUGAAUUGAUGGCUGUUCUGGCUCGGCCUGUUCUGUUCACUGUCUCCUCCGGUGAGCUUGUUGAUCUUGCACAAGAUUUAAAAAUGUAUGACUCCCUCAGAAGGUGCUGCAAGAUGAGCGAACAGGAGCCUGUAUCAGUCUCACAUAGCAAAGGAGAUUCUCCAAAGCCAUCGGCAAGACAGACACCCGGGGAAGGGCUGGAGGGAGAGCUGGGCUCGUAGCCCAGACUCAAGCCUCCCCUCCCUAAGCCCAUUUCCCGGCUGCAUGCUGGAAUCAUGGAGAAACGGUUCAGAGUGGAGUGGAGGAUCCCGAAAAGACAGUGUUCAAGUACUGAACACACAGCCUGCCACACCGACAGGACUCAGUGAACAACACGGGCAGUACUACACUCCCAGCCUGCCUUGAGUUGGAAUGGCUGGUGCUGUGGGAGGAGCUACUCUGUGCCAUUCCCAUCUGAGGUCCCCUGGAGUUGGUACAAGGGUCCCCUCAAGGAUGGAGAGUGAAUGUGGGACCUGGCAGAUGGGAACAGCCUGGUGAUCUAUUAUGGUAGCCUGCUGUGAUUUGAAUGUGUCCCCCCAAAUCCAUCUGUCGAAAACUUAACCCCCCAAAUUUGUGUGUUUGAUAGUAUAGAGAUAUGUUUAGGGCUAGAUGAUGUCAGGCGGGUUGGGCCCAUGAUAGCAGCAUUAGUGGCGUGACAUGAAGAGAAGGGACCCUUGAGCAGACAACCCUUUCUAUCUAACAGGUACUGACUUGUCCCUCUGCCACUGGACGACCAGUACAAAGGUCAUCACCAGAUGGCACCAUACCCUGGACUUCCCAGUCUCCAGAGCUGUAAUGCAAUCUCCAUGUAAAUAAACUUCUGUUUCUGACUGA